rnacentral:lncRNA from 1 species
AGAAGAGUGGCAGCAGAGACAACAGCCCAUCAGUAGCCUGGUCUUGUGGAAUAAAAGAUUUUAGAAUGAUGUGGGAGCUGAAGCUAAAUGUUGCAGAAUUGUUCAGUAAAACACAGACUUGGGCACAAAUUCCAACUGUGCUGACCACAUCCACCAGCUGCAGAGACACACAAAGAGACAGUACAAGCACAAUAUAUGGAAAAAAAUCCGAGUGAUGGAAAUAUAAGCUGCUCCAAGUGAAUGUUUAUGCGUCAGUGCUGUGCAGAACAGUUUUAGACAGCUCUAGUGGCCAAAGCUGUGGAAGGAGCCUAAUCCCACUGGAACCAGUCUGUGCAGGGACUCCUCAGAUACUUCUAUAUCCCCAGUGAUUCAGCUGUUCAGCGCCAGCCAAGACAUUUCUGCACACAGAUCAAUAAGAUAUAGUGCAGUGCAGAUGUUCUUUGCUCUAAGAAACUUGGCAAGACUGUGUAGAGUAGAUUUUAGUGGUCUGAAAUGUCUGAACAAAAAGAUCAUCUCUUGCUUCAUCAGUACCACAGACUUGUGAAGAGUUUCCGAUUUUACAGAUUGUAAAUCUGUAUCCAGUUCCCUCCAUGCUUCAGCACUGAAGCUGUGAUCAUUACAAUUGCUGAUUAUCACUGAUGCAUAUUGCAUGAAACUAUUCACCAAUUGGUAAACCUAAAGAGUCCUUUGCCUUUCACUCCAGAAAGGCUGUGAAAUAUGGAAGAAAGUUUCUCCAAGUAAUUUAUCCUUAAAUAGCUUGUCACUGCAGUGCAGAACAUGUGAGUCUAAGGAGAAUUUUUGUGUGUCUGUGAUGGUGUGAUACACAACAAUCCCAGUGGACCAUAACUUCAUUUACACCCUCGAAUGUGCUAGACAACCUUCCCAAAUCUGGGAGAUUCUGGCACUGAGCUUUCUACCUGUGCCUUGUCUCAGCUCUUCUGGAGGGUGUUUUUUUUUUGUUUUUUUUUUUUUUUUUUUUUUUUUUUUUUUUUUUUGUUUUUUUAAUCUUCUUCUAUCUUAACAGCUAGAAAGGGAGUAAUUUCCAAGGGAACACUUGUUCCUACCAAGCAGUCUAAGUGACAUCUGCAAGCAUGACAUGCAGACACAGCAGUUCCUGUUUCCUGCAGAAUCUGAGCACUCACAUCUAAUUGCAGCCGAGGUUGACUGAGGACAUUCAAAAGAGAAGAGAGUAUUUUGCAUUGUAAGGCUGUUGGAUUUUUCUUUUAUUUAUGUGGCAUCUCUCAAAAAACCUUCUGUGUGACACUUGGAAGCAACCCACAGGGAAACAAUGCGGGAUGCAAGAAUAUGUUUUUAUAUGUACACAUAUACAUAUAUAUAUAUAUGCACACACAUAUAUAAUAGAAAGCACAAUUCAGCAUAGCAAGGAUAAGAUGUGUAAAGACAUGGGGCUGAGAAGAUAUAAAUGAUCAUUCCUGAGGCUGUAGUUCACACGUUAAUAAUCCUGGUGUACCCUUAGAUCUGAGGCUAACAGACUAACUGUGCAUCUUGGGUGUUUUUGGGUGGGGAGUGUUAUGUGCCUAGGGAUGAUCGAGUAUCUGGAAUGAUUUGCAAAUCAGCUCUUUAUGAUGUGUGCAGGAUAGUAAUGCCUCUGAGUACUAGCGACUCAAAAAUGCAGAGCAGCGAACAAAGCGAUCUAAAAUGCCAGGAGGAAAGAAUUUUCUCAGUGGCCUACAGAUGGCAGGCCGAUAUAACAGAUGAGUGAUGUCCUUGAAGCCUGUUUCCCUGAAUAUUAGAAACAUAGUACACCCUAUUUAUGCAGGUUUUCACGGAGAAAGAAGUUUUAACUGGGUCACUCUAAAAUGCAACCACUUUUGCACUACUUCAGAAUAUGUUCAAAGUCUUUUGCUUUGUGCUGUAAGCGGUGUUCAAAAUUCAGCCCAAAAGCUCUCAACUAGAAUUGUUUUAAGUGUUAUGAACUUACCUAAAGAUUUUGAUAAUUGACUCCAAGUUCUCAAAAAUUAGUGUGUACAGGAGGAUACUUGGGUUUACUUGUAUGUAGUUCAUGUCUUCAAAUUACUCCACUUUCUUAAAGAAUGUUGCAAUUGAUUUUGCUGACACCUUGUAUGUUUUUGCAUAAAUCUGGAUUAGCUUUUUUUUUCUGUAGAAGACACCAACAGAUAAAACUUAUGGUUGACUUUUUUGACUCAUUUAAUAUAAAAUAAAAAUUCCUUCAGAAGAUUUUGGUCUGGAAGAGAGGAGGAACCAUAGACACAGUAAAGCUUUUGUUUCUCUUCCUCUUGAGCACUGAGCUUUAGUGUAUGAUUUGAUACUCUCCUGUAUCUUUAGCUCAUAAAAGCACUAAUUCCAGAAGGGAAAACAAAAUAGCAGUCAGCCUUUUCCUUCACUUGGAGAAAAAGAAGUUAUUUAGAGGGUUAAAAAAUGAGAAAAUGUGGCUUCUACUAGUCUUCUUGUUCAAUGAAUAUCUAACAGAAAAGACAUCUUAAACACUGUAAUCUUUCAAGUGUUUUGUAUUUGCUAUAUAAAACAUUAUUAAAAAGGAGUUGGAAAAAGAAAGCUGUUGCAGGUCAUACCCUUUCCAUAUUGUUUGUAAAAUGGCUAAUGGUUAGAAAAUCAAACUUGCUAUACUUCACUCUGUUUGUCUUCUUUUUUUUAUGACUGUAGAUUGAAAUAGGCAUAUUUAAAAUAUUGUGAAGUAUGGAAGUGAUUACAACCUGCCGCUUAAGGCACGACUCAGGAAAUUGAAGAACAGGGGCUUAAAAGUAGUCCCCAAACAAUGGGCUUAACAGAAUUUCACAAGAAACGCUUCGACAACUUUUUUUUAAACCAGAAAAUACUCGGUUUCAACUGAGGGACUGGAAAAUAUGUUGCUAUAUUCUUGAACUGUUUUCUAUUAUGGAAAUCAAACAAGCUUUCGUGACGGAUUACUCUUCAGGCAAGGAGAAAGGAAUGCUUGUGGAGGCCGCACACAGGUCUGUGCUCUGUGCCCUGCCCUGCUGCUGUAGCUAAGCCUGUCUGAACUGUCUUCUAAUCCACAAGCAUAAUUCUGGCUAUUAAAAUAUCCAGUAUUUUAACUCCUCAAUCUAAUUCAUUUGUGCAAUAUAUAUUUAAUAUAUGAAGUGGCAAGAGAAUUGUUUUUUUCUGAGCUGCCAUUGUGUUGUGAAACCACAGCAGCGUGGAAUCAUGGUCUGCCCUGGCAUUCUCUGCAUUAUCAGUCGUGUAUAUGUUGGAGUGGGAAAAGAAUAAAUUUCCUGGUAUAUUAACUUCAAAUGUGAUAGGAAAGUGUCUGGUUGCAUAUCUGUCACAAAGAUGAAAUGUGGAAGUGGCUGCAAAGUUUGCUGCUUAACUUUGUCAUCCAAGAGCCUUGCUAUCUCUGUCAAAAGAUAUAUGUUGUUUGAGGAAAACCAUUCUGAAGAUCUGCCUGUAUUGAAAAUCCACAUAAGAAUGCUGAGGGGGUGUAUGAGAACAACGAUGCUGCAUCCCUAAUAUCAUAGUGACAUGUGCCUGGCUGCUAGCUAGGUUGCUUUUUGUUGGUUUCUUUUCUUUUUCUCUCUUUUUUUUUUUUUUUUUUUUCCCUUUUUAAAACUGGAAAUUAUAUGCAAUUGGAAGAAAAGGGGGGAGAUAAUCUUGCUUUGAAAAUGGCUUCUGUCAUGACACUAAGCUUUGCUGUCCUCUGAGGUUUCUCAAACACCAAAGCAGCAAAUGAGACUAAGUAAUUAAAUGCGAAAACUGAUGAAAUAAGUUCUGUGAGUCUUUGCUGGCUCAUGGGAAGGGGAUUCUGAAUCAAUGCUAAGGUGAUGAACUGGCAUCAUUCAAAGUGAACAGCAUACUGAAACACUUUGUUUUAAUGAGUCUACAGUCUGUGACUCCCAGCCUCAGAACUGAGAAUUCAGGUGGCUAAAAUGAGGCUUGUAUUUUCUAAGAGUGCGAGAGGAGACAGAGGUUCUGACCCAUUUUCUUUCUUCUUCACGCUGCAGAAGCUCUGCUUUGUGUGCCGUAUGCCAGCAUAGAGUAUCCUCAUAGCAACAACUGUAUAGGCAGGGUUGCUUUGAAAGGUAAUACUUACAAUGUGCUUGCUGUAUAAUAUGACCUAGCAGUUACGAAACAGGAGGUUAGUAAAGAUUAUAGGAACAGCUGUCUGCUUUGUGCCACUCCCACACAUUCCCCGAGCCAAACUUGGAGGACCUGACAAAGCGAGGCAUAUUGCAGCCAAGAUCUUUUCUUUGUAAGGAUCCAUGUAUACAUAAAGAAGUCAAAAUAUAUUCAGCAGUAGUGAAUCAUACUUCUUUAUAGUUUACUCUGACUAGAUUACCAUUACUCCAAUAUCCUUGGUUUGCAAGCAAAAAUAUGUGCUGCUGCCUUUUUCAAACUACUCUGGGGAGACAUUUCCUCAGGCAUCUAUCCAGAGAGAAAGAGAAAGAGAAGCAGUAUCAGUUCUGUUAUUUCUCUCCAGAAAAUUCAUUUAUUUAGAGUGCAGGGAAAGCACAAAGCAGUUUCUUUUUCUUGUGUCUUUGAUUUUAUUUUUGUUUUAUAAGUAUGAGCUCUGAGCCUGCACUUUACUACAUGCACAUGGACAGCUGCACCUGCACGGAGCCACACUGGCUUCAGUGAGGCACCAUGUGGGCAUAGCAAUCUGCCAGCCCGUAAGUUGUAAAUCUCAGAAUGAGGAAUUUCACGUGUUUAUGCAGUGUUCUUGAAGGAGUAAGGUAUUGGAAAUUGCCUGUAGGGUGUCAGCAGGUGCCAUAUGUGUUUUCCCACACAAUCUUACCAAUGCACAGCAUUCCUGACCUGUAACCACCCUCCUUGUGCAUAUGGUGUGCAAGCUGAUGGCCAUCGAUGAGCGUGCUGCUUGCAUUGAGAUGAGGUCCAAGCAAGACUUGCUGUGCUUACUCCAGUUUGUAGCUGGUGUUAUGCUGCUAAAAGGCAAAUGCAUGGAAGGCAAUUUCUCAGUCUCAUUCUGUUUAAAAUGAGAUACACUGCUAUCUCUUGGUAUUUUCUAAUUGUGAUUUUUGUUAUUCUUACUGAAGUUCAGAUUUUGCCUGGAUGUGUGGUUUGGGGGACAAGUUGUUAUUUACAGCAGGAUAACAACGAAAGAUACUGAGCCAUAAAGGCAAAGAAUCACUGCUAGUGUACCUUGCAAGGGAACCCAAGGAACUGCGUCCACCUAUUCUAGCUGGGCUGUGCAGACUCAUCUGUGUUUUGUACAUUUUAUCCAAGAGUCACAAGUCUGGCUUGCUCGGGUACCACCAUCAAAGGAGCCUCUACCCAAACAGCAGCUGCUGUUUUUGCCUUCAGUCAGGCCCCACACGUGCAGAGGAGUAGUCCUGCCUUCUGCCCCACAUUUCUCCUCCCAAGUAUUAAACUUGCAUGAAAAAGUUUGCAAUAUUCCUUAUUUUGUACAGCUUACCAUAAUUCUCCCUUCAGGCUAUUAUCAUUCUCUCUUGACUGCAAGUCAACUACUUCAAAAUAAUUGUUCUUUUUUUUUCUUGUAAAUUUUUUUUUUUAUUAUUAUAGAGGUAUUAAAACAAUGAUGUGCAAGUGUAAUGUGGGGCCAAAACAACUGUUGAAAGUUUUUCAUGUACCUGAGGUUCACUAUGUUUUAAAGUUUGUCUCAGAUUUGUUUCAUUAUUUAAUCAGGAUUGAAAACUCCUCUAUGUUAAUAAUCAAGGGUAUCAAAGAGCACUGUAUCAAGUUUCUGUGUUUUGAGAAGACUGCAAAUCAUUUUCAGGAGGUGGGUAAUUAAAUAUGUAGUCUUUUGUGUCUCUUUCAACUGAAAUUUCAGAAGAGCCUGUUUAUCUGAAGAUGUGAAGGAGAUAAAAGUAUCAGUAGUCUAUAUUACAUAGAUUUGGGGUUUGCAGAGGAAGACUUCUUGUUAAGAAAGAGUUAACAACUGUGCAGAAGUCUGUGUUAGACAUUUUUUUAGUCAAGCAGCCCUGAGAUAACUCAGAAAACUGGAAUGUCCUUGGUGAGACAGAAUGAAAACAGCAAGGGUUGAACAGCAGCGUGGUGUCCGUGCAGGAUGUGCCUGGCCUUGGCUCUGCUGGGAGCUGGCUGUGCUCCCCAGCCCGGUCCAGCAGGAGGAUGGACACACUGCCCACUUCCCUCAGCAAUUAUCCUGCUGUUUUGUGGAGCAGCCAGCUGCAAGCUGUGUUCUGUAUUUUGGUCUUCAAUAGUCAUUUACUGUUAUAACCUUUAGGCACUAAAUUCUACUGCAUUCUCCUCAAAGAGAAAUUUAAAGAAACUCUAAGUCUCUGGUACCUUAAUUUUGAAGAACAGGAUGUGCAUGACUAUAGUUGAGCAAUUCCUUUGAUGCUUCCCAAUUAUCCUGUAAUAGUCCUGUGAUUUAAUUUCCCUUAAAUGUCACUAGCAGAUUAAUCUCUCUUAAAAUGCUGAACAGGCAAACAAAUUACUGCCUUAUUAUCAAGUAAUUUUAGCGUGGGUUGAGCAGAACCUAAAGCAAGUUGAUCUUGUUCUAAAUCAAGGAUACAACCUGAUAGGCAGGUUUAUGUGUAAGGGGCCAAGAACUUAAAUAUUUGCCUUCUUUUUUUUUUUUUUUCAAUUGUGCAUUGCUCCUUGUCUGAAUAAAUAAUUAUCCCCUGUAUCUGAUAGGAGAAUCGACGAUCACACAUUGUGUGAAGGAUUACCAUAAUGUAUGCAGUAGGCAUUUCUUUUUUAAACAGGCUCUUUUGGAGUCCUGUUUGACUUAGUUUUUCUCCAAAGUUGAUUUGGAUAAGCUCAAUUACAACCAGAUUGGAUUGCUGUGGAUUUUUACCAUGUGACCCUGAAUGUCUAUAUCACUCCAGAAUAUCCUUUUAUUAUUUUUUCCCCUAGAUUUAUAUGAAGUGGUGCUUGGGUUUUUUCAUUCCUGCUGUUUCUUUCAGUCAAAAGACUGAAGAUUGUUAAAACAGUGGAAUGUAGGAGAAGCAUACUGAUAAAUUAUUUUGAUAUUCAUUUUCCAAGGUGUGGGAGUGCACUCCCGCAAAACCAAUUGUAACAUCUUGAAGUAGCACUACUUUUGUGUAACAACUGCCCUUAAGUGGUUUUUUCAUAGUCAUCUGUCCAACAAAGCAGAUUAAGCACAGCAAUUUUCUUGUUUCUAUUUGUCUCUUGAUGAUUUUCAUUGAGAGUUCUCUUAUAGCUCUCAAUUCAAUUCUACUUGAACUUUGUAUGUUUUAAGGAAAAUGAAAUAAUUAUGAUCUUUGCCUAACUAAAAUUCUUUCCUAUUUUUGAAACUGUACUCCUGUGAUUUAAAAAGUUGUGUUAUAGCCAGACAACAUUAUAAAUUCUGUAACAUUCCACUUUUUACUUGGUGUUAUUCUUUUCAAGGACAUAGUGCGUAUCAAAGGGAUGUUACUGAGUGAUAAGCACAAUAUCAGAUUGUAAUGUUUCCUUUGUUUAAAAUCAGUGCUCUGGGAAAGAGUAGAAACUGUGAUAUGAAAAACUGCUGAACUCCAUAUCCUAGAAGGAGUCAAGGCCUCUUUUAUCAUAUGGUCAGAUCACAUUCAGCAGUGGCAGACUUUGAUACUUAAACCACUGGAGUCUUGUUCACAAUCACCUUGCUGAACUUCAGUUAAUAAUGUUCAUACCCUAAUUUCUGUACCAGAUGGAGGUAGUCUAUAUACACAUAGUAGAAAAGAGGGCAAAAUACAGUCUUGUACUGCCAUCAGUCCUCUCAGAAAUAACUCCAGCAACAGAGAGUCACUGGGAUUUGAGAACCUGUCUUGGAAAUCCCC